rnacentral:rRNA from 1 species
ACGCUCGACACCUACGGGAGGCAGCAGUGGGGAAUAUUGGGCAAUGGGCGGCAAGCCUGACCCAGCAACGCCGCGUGAAGGAAGAAGGCCCUCGGGUUGUAAACUUCUUUUGACAGGGACGAAAACAAAUGACGGUACCUGUCGAAUAAGCCACGGCUAACUACGUGCCAACAGCCGCGGUAAUCUGAGCGGGCUGGCAAGGC